UUACCGCUUCAUCAAGCUGUUUGGUUUUUGCUCUGUGGGCAGUCACUAACAUACGUGCCGCACACACACACACACACACACACACACACGCACGGUCACAUGAACCUUCAAACGCUACACUCAUCUGCCCUAAACAAGAACCCACCCCCCCCACGUCUUGUGCAGCGUUUACCGUUAUCAAUGAUAAGUCAACUAUUUCACUUUACAUCCAAAAAGUACAGUAAUCUAUCUUCGUGAUUACUGUACACAAGUUUAUUUUCAUAGCUUAUUUGGAAGCUUUGAGUUAAGUGGCCUUGAGAUUCAGCAUGAUGUACAGACGUACCUAAAGUACCUGCAAAGAUUUGUUCCUAUAUAUACAGUACAUGUUGACAAGGAAAGGUCUUUAUUAUUUUUGCCUUGAUUCCGAAUAAAUCAUUCUCUGUAAAUUAUUAUACAUAACACUUUCACAGAAUUUCCCCCAUUCAUAAUACAAAUGAAUGCUGUAUAACAAAACAAAAUAUGCCCACGAAUGAUAUCGGUAAUACUGUAUACGUUAUUUUGAUAACUCCCUCAAGUUCUAAUAAUAAUAAGAAAAGAAUGUAAGGAUUUUUUUUAUUUGUAUUCUUACAGAUAUAAUAUCACCAAAAUAGGACAUCUCCUGUCCGUUGCUAAUGCAUCUGCACUCCCUGGAAAAAAAAAAAAACUAUGACUAUGACUAUGUUCAGACCAUAAAUCAAACAAAGUACCUUGUGUGAGUCACACACUUUGGUUCUGGUUCACUUUGGUUCACAUUGGACUCUUAAUGGUCUGUAUUUUGAAGGGAAAACCACAUUGGCUUGACUUUACAGACCCAAGAUGGAAGUGCACCUCUUUUCGUCAGUGAAGGUCACAGUCUUCGUAAUGUAUAUGGAUACGUUUCAGAGCGCCGGUGUGGCAGACGGCCAGUGGAUUCAGCCUCAUACGUACACAUGUGGGUAAAAGACGAAUAGAGGUGAUUGGGCAGGAUUUGGAGUUAUCGAAAAGAAACAAUAAACGGAGUCGAGGCUCUGUUACAAUGCAAUAGAUAUCAUGUGAAAGCACUGCACAUUUUUUUUCCCCGUUCUGUCUUUUUUCUAAUGCUCUCACUGUGCAGGAUAGAUGGAGGUCAUUCAUUAUCUGCUGGUCCACCGGGACCAGUAUCUUCCUCAGCAGUUUAAACAAGGCCCACCGCAGCAGAGGGCUUGAGCUGUUGAAAACAUACACACGCGGACGUAGAGGAACUACAAGUGCGGCAGCGUUUGUACGCCGCUUUCCGAAGCUCAUUGAGGUUAAUGAGUGUAAAUGCACGCAGUGAGUGAUGACUUCAUCUUGGCCGUGAACGAGGCGAAGGCAAGACAGAACGACGUGCAUACGCACAGAAGGUACGGAAACACAAAGGCAAGCGAGCAGAAGGUGGUCGUGCGUGUACCGGAGGCGGCGGCAUCAGCAACUGGAUUCAACAAAACCUCCUGUAGGAACACACGCAGGCCUGCCGACACAUCACAUGCUCACUUCUUGGCCUGAAGACUGACAGCCGAAGAGAAAUAGGAAGAUGACAUCACCUCCAUUGCGAUAAGGGGACCCUGGGGAAGGAAAGACUCCUAACGCCCUCCUCACUUGCCUCUGGAAACAACUCAGAAGUGACUUUCAAAGUUAUCAAUUAUGUUUGAUUUUGGAGUUUUCCUAUAUAUUUUUUUGUACUUAGAUGGACACUUUUGUCCAUGAAACUUCGUGUCAGCAGACCCUCGUCCUACUGUGUUCAGCCAAUCACUUUCUUGCCUGCACUCAAGACACAUUUGAAAAGCGAUUUCCCCAAAAAUAAUUAAAAAAAUUCAAUAAAAAUAUCUUCCCUGUUUUGGGGUUAAACAAACAAACAAACAAAACAAAACCUAAAUCUAGGUUUACGUUUGAAGCACAAUUUUGCCAAUCAGAGACCUGAAUCAACUGCAAAAUCUGCGGCGAGACUCAGUUUAUAUUCUAAACGUCCUCGAAGUAACAUUCAUUACAAUCUACUAAAUGGCUCACGUCACAUAUAUGAUCUGUCAUUAAAACACACUUUUGAAAAUACAUAAAUAAAGGACAAAACGCUGAGGAAAGCACACUUGUGUGUUCAUUUCUAUAACACUAAUAACUAUAAUGAUAAUAAUAAUAAUAUUUUAUACAGUAACUGACUAUUAACUGACACUUAUAACAAAGAAAUACACAAAUAUGAAUAAUAUAUCUUUUACAAAGGCAAAUAUUUUGCCAGAAAUAAACAUUCUGUAAUGUCAGAGCAGUUUAUAAUAAGGUAAGGAAAGUACAAGUAUAUUAACAGAAAAUAACUGAGAAGUUAAAUUCACGUAGAAUAUUACUCGACUAAAAGUCUCAAAGGAUUUUGAAUUUUGAUUAUGUUUGCCCAUCCAUCUAUUUUCUGUACGGCUCGCCCUUAUUAGGGUCGAGGGUGUACAGGUAUGCAAAAAAAAUAAAAAUAAAUCUACUUUAGUACAAGAGCACCUCUGCUGGUUGCAGCCAAGUACUGCAAUCCAUAUUGACUCUUUUUUUUUUUUUUUUUUUUGACCAUACAAUCAUCACUUUGACCCAAAAUCAUAAUAACCAGUCGUUCAAACCUGCAUUCCUAAUAGUGAUACUAGAUGUCAGUCAAUUAGUCGAUUGUAACCUCAAUCGAGUGGAAAUUACUGGUAGCAAAGCUGCCGUAAUUGUCUUAACACUGAAUAGAGAACCAGUGUGUGUGUGUGUGUGUGUGUGUGA